rnacentral:rRNA from 1 species
GCGGUGGAGCAUGUGGUUUAAUCGAAGCAACGCGAAGAACCUUACCAGGUCUUGACAUCCCCUGACAACCCGGGAGAUCGGGCGUCCCCUUCGGGGGACAGGGUGACAGGUGGUGCAUGGUUGUCGUCAGCUCGUGUCGUGAGAUGUUGGGUUAAGUCCCGCAACGAGCGCAACCCUCGACCUUAGUUGCCAGCAUUCAGUUGGGCACUCUAGCGAGACUGCCGGUAAUAAACCGGAGGAAGGUGGGAUGACGUCAAAUCAUCAUGCCCCUUAUGACCUGGGCUACACACGUGCUACAAUGGUUGGUACAACGAGUUGCGAGUCGGUGACGGCGAGCUAAUCUCUUAAAGCCAAUCUCAGUUCGGAUUGUAGGCUGCAACUCGCCUACAUGAAGUCGGAAUCGCUAGUAAUCGCGGAUCAGCACGCCGCGGUGAAUACGUUCCCGGGCCUU